UACGAAGGGGGCUAGCGUUGCUCGGAAUCACUGGGCGUAAAGCGCACGUAGGCGGAUUUCUAAGUCAGGGGUGAAAUCCUGGAGCUCAACUCCAGAACUGCCUUUGAUACUGGCAAUCUUCGAGUCCGGGAGAGGUGAGUGGAACUCCGAGUGUAGAGGUGAAAUUCGUAGAUAUUCGGAAGAACACCAGUGGCGAAGGCGGCUCACUGGCCCGGUACUGACGCUUAAGAGCGAAAGCGUGGGGAGCAAACAGG
rnacentral:rRNA from 1 species